GCCUAUGACCAUACCACUCUGAACACACCCAAUUUUGUCUGAUCUCGGAAGCUAAGCAGAGUUGGGCCUGGUUAGUACUAGAAUGAGAGACUGCCUAGGAAUACCGGGCAAUGUAGGCU
ensembl:rRNA 5S_rRNA 5S ribosomal RNA